rnacentral:rRNA from 1 species
UACGGAGGGGGCUAGCGUUGUUCGGAAUUACUGGGCGUAAAGCGCACGUAGGCGGCUUUGUAAGUUAGAGGUGAAAGCCCGGGGCUCAACUCCGGAAUUGCCUUUAAGACUGCAUCGCUAGAAUUGUGGAGAGGUAAGUGGAAUUCCGAGUGUAGAGGCGAAAAUUCGUAGAUAUUCGGAAGAACACCAGUGGCGAAGGCGACUUACUGGACACAUAUUGACGCUGAGGUGCGAAAGCGUGGGGAGCAAACAGG